AGUCGAGCGAGAAAGUAUCUUCGGAUAUGAGUAGAGCGGCGGACGGGUGAGUAACGCGUAGGAAUCUACCUAGUAGAAGGGGAUAGCCCGGGGAAACUCGGAUUAAUACCGUAUACCUCCUUUGGGAGAAAGAGGGCCUCUCUUGAUGCUCUCGCUAUUAGAUGAGCCUGCGUAAGAUUAGCUUGUUGGUGAGGUAAUGGCUCACCAAGGCUACGAUCUUUAGUUGGUCUGAGAGGACGAUCAGCCACAUUGGGACUGAGACACGGCCCAGACUCCUACGGGAGGCAGCAGUGGGGAAUAUUGGACAAUGGGCGCAAGCCUGAUCCAGCCAUACCGCGUGUGUGAAGAAGGCCUUCGGGUUGUAAAGCACUUUAAGCAGGGAGAAAAGGUUAUAAGUUAAUACCUUAUAACCGUGAUGUUACCUGCAGAAUAAGCACCGGCUAAUUCCGUGCCAGCAGCCGCGGUAAUACGGAAGGUGCAAGCGUUAAUCGGAAUUACUGGGCGUAAAGCGUGCGUAGGUGGUUUGUUAAGUUGGAUGUGAAAGCCCUGGGCUCAACCUAGGAACUGCAUCCAAAACUAACUCACUAGAGUACGAUAGAGGGAGGUAGAAUUCAUAGUGUAGCGGUGGAAUGCGUAGAUAUUAUGAAGAAUACCAGUGGCGAAGGCGGCCUCCUGGAUCUGUACUGACACUGAGGUGCGAAAGCGUGGGUAGCGAACAGGAUUAGAUACCCUGGUAGUCCACGCCGUAAACGAUGACAACUAGCUGUUGGGAGACAAUGUCUUUCAGUGGCGCAGCUAACGUUUUAAGUUGUCCGCCUGGGGAGUACGGCCGCAAGGCUAAAACUCAAAUGAAUUGACGGGGACCCGCACAAGCGGUG
rnacentral:rRNA from 1 species